UCUCCGUAGGUGAACCUGCGGAGGGAUCAUUACCGAGUGAGGGCUCACGCCCGACCUCCAACCCUUUGUAAUCCAUACCAUGUUGCCUCGGGGGCGACCCUGCCGUCCGCGGCUGAGCGCCCCCGGGGUCAAUCAAACACUGCAUUCUCUGCGUCGGAGUAUUAGUAAAUCUAAUCAAAACUUUCAACAACGGAUCUCUUGGUUCUGGCAUCGAUGAAGAACGCAGC
rnacentral:misc_RNA from 1 species